UACGUAGGGCGCAAGCGUUGUCCGGAAUUAUUGGGCGUAAAGAGCUCGUAGGCGGCUUGUCACGUCGGGUGUGAAAGCUCGGGGCUUAACCCCGGGUCUGCAUUCGAUACGGGCUGGCUGGAGUGUGGUAGGGGAGAUCGGAAUUCCUGGUGUAGCGGUGAAAUGCGCAGAUAUCAGGAGGAACACCGGUGGCGAAGGCGGAUCUCUGGGCCAUUACUGACGCUGAGGAGCGAAAGCGUCGGGAGCGAACGGG
rnacentral:rRNA from 1 species